rnacentral:rRNA from 1 species
GACGAACGCUGGCGGCGUGGAUUAGGCAUGCAAGUCGAACGGUAUCAUCCUUUCGGGGGUGAGAGAGUGGCGAACUGGUGAGUAACACGUAGGUUAUCUACCCUCAAGACGGGGACAACCCAGGGAAACUUGGGCUAAUGCCGGAUGUGAGCAACUUUUAGUUGUUUGAAAGGUGGCGUAAGCUGUCGCUUGGGGAUGAGCCUGCGUCCUAUUAGUUAGUUGGUGAGGUAACGGCUCACCUAGGCAAUGAUAGGUAGGCGGCCUUAACGGGUGGUCGCCCACACUGGGAUUGAGAUACGGCCCAGACUCCUACGGGAGGCAGCAGUCGAGAAUAGUCUACAAUGGUCGGAAGACUGAUAGUGCGACGCCGCGUGAACGAUGAAUCCCUUCGGGGUGUAAAGUUCUUUUAUAUGUGAGCAGUGCUUCUUAUAUUAACAGUAUGGGGAGAGAGAUAUUAGCAUAUGAAUAAGCAACGGCUAACUCCGUGCCAGCAGCCGCGGU